rnacentral:rRNA from 1 species
GGAAGUAAAAAAUCGUAACAAGGUCUCCGUUGGUGAACCAGCGGAGGGAUCAUUACUGAGUUUACGCUCUACAACCCUUUGUGAACAUACCUAUAACUGUUGCUUCGGCGGGUAGGGUCUCCGUGACCCUCCCGGCCUCCCGCCCCCGGGCGGGUCGGCGCCCGCCGGAGGAUAACCAAACUCUGAUUUAACGACGUUUCUUCUGAGUGGUACAAGCAAAUAAUCAAAACUUUUAACAACGGAUCUCUUGGUUCUGGCAUCGAUGAAGAACGCAGCGAAAUGCGAUAAGUAAUGUGAAUUGCAGAAUUCAGUGAAUCAUCGAAUCUUUGAACGCACAUUGCGCCCGCCAGCAUUCUGGCGGGCAUGCCUGUUCGAGCGUCAUUUCAACCCUCAAGCUCUGCUUGGUGUUGGGGCCCUACAGCUGAUGUAGGCCCUCAAAGGUAGUGGCGGACCCUCCCGGAGCCUCCUUUGCGUAGUAACUUUACGUCUCGCACUGGGAUCCGGAGGGACUCUUGCCGUAAAACCCCCAAUUUCCAAAGGUGACCUCGGAUCAG